GGACAUUUUAAAAUUAUGGAGCACGGGUUAAGACAAUAUCUCUAGUUUGAAGGUGAAAAACAAGCACCUUUGCAUCUACUUGGAUUUCACACAGAUUCUCACUCCAUGUUGUCUAGGCUGCACUUAUUACCUUCAAGUCAUCUCCUUGUGGCACCAAGUACAUAUCAGAUAGAUGAGAGAAGCUAGUGAAGAGAAUGCAGGACAAUCAUUUACCAGGGUUACAGUGCUGCAAAAAAAGAGAUAGCUGUUAAACUUGUAUCACUGCUCAACAGGACCUUUUCCUCACGAAGUGCAACAUUGUCCAAGCCUGCUUGCUGCAUGUGAUUUUGUUGUGAUGAGCUGGAGGAGGAAUAAGGGUCACAAUCAUAGUUUCAUACAGACCUAUUUAUAAUUUAUUGUGUAAUUUUUUUCCAUAACUCCUCUAUUCAUUAAACCAUCUCGUUAGAAAAAUUGUUUUAGUAAUCUUAAAAACCACAUUUGUAUUUAUUCAUUUUAAUCAGUUAACUUGCCCACAGUGUGUGGUUUAGUUAGGAGUGUCAUAUUGAAAGAGAGUGUUUUCAAACUAAUAUUUUUAAUUAUACAAGGGUGUUAGAGUUCCACUAUACUUUCAUCCCUUUCAUGCACUACACUAUACCUAGAAAUAUCAUCUCAUAUU